rnacentral:rRNA from 1 species
UGGGGAAUAUUGGACAAUGGGCGCAAGCCUGAUCCAGCAAUGCCGCGUGUGUGAAGAAGGCCUUCGGGUUGUAAAGCACUUUUAUCAGGAGCGAAACGCUGUCGGCUAAUACCCGGCGGAACUGACGGUACCUGAGGAAUAAGCACCGGCUAACUUCGUGCCAGCAGCCGCGGUAAUACGAAGGGUGCAAGCGUUAAUCGGAAUUACUGGGCGUAAAGCGUGCGUAGGCGGUUUCUUAAGUCUGCUGUGAAAUCCCCGGGCUCAACCUGGGAAUGGCAGUGGAUACUGGGAGGCUAGAGUGUGUCAGAGGGUGGUGGAAUUCCCGGUGUGGCGGUGAAAUGCGUAGAGAUCGGGAGGAACAUCAGUGGCGAAGGCGGCCACCUGGGACAACACUGACGCUGAGGCACGAAAGCGUGGGGAGCAAACAGGAUUAGAUACCCUGGUAGUCCACGCCCUAAACGAUGCGAACUGGAUGUUGGUCUCAACUCGGAGAUCAGUGUCGAAGCUAACGCGUUAAGUUCGCCGCCUGGGGAGUACGGUCGCAAGACUGGAAACUUAAAGGAAUUGACGGGGUCAUAGCUGUUUCC